rnacentral:rRNA from 1 species
GUCAAAAAGAUUAAGUUAUUAAGGGCGCACGGUGGAUGCCUUGGCACUAGAAGCCGACGAAGGACGUUACUAACGACGAUAUGCUUUGGGGAGCUGUAAGUAAGCUUUGAUCCAGAGAUUUCCGAAUGGGGAAACCCAGCACGAGUUAUGUCGUGUUAUCGAUAUGUGAAUACAUAGCAUAUCUGAAGGCAGACGCGGAGAACUGAAACAUCUUAGUACCCGCAGGAAGAGAAAGAAAAAUCGAUUCCCUGAGUAGCGGCGAGCGAAACAGGAAGAGCCCAAACCAACGAGCUUGCUUGUUGGGGUUGUAGGACACUCUAUACGGAGUUACAAAAGAACAGACUAGACGAAUCAUCUGGAAAGAUGAAUCGAAGAAGGUAAUAAUCCUGUAGUCGAAAGUUUGUUCACUCUUGAGUGGAUCCUGAGUACGACGGAACACGAGAAAUUCCGUCGGAAUCUGGGAGGACCAUCUCCCAAGGCUAAAUACUCUCUAGUGACCGAUAGUGAACCAGUACCGUGAGGGAAAGGUGAAAAGUACCCCGGAAGGGGAGUGAAAUAGAACUUGAAACCGUGUGCUUACAAGUAGUCAGAGCCCGUUAAUGGGUGAUGGCGUGCCUUUUGUAGAAUGAACCGGCGAGUUACGAUUUGAUGCAAGGUUAAGCAGUGAAUGUGGAGCCGUAGCGAAAGCGAGUCUGAACAGGGCGUUGAGUAUUUGGUCGUAGACCCGAAACCAGGUGAUCUACCCUUGACCAGGUUGAAGUUCAGGUAACACUGAAUGGAGGACCGAACCGACUUACGUUGAAAAGUGAGCGGAUGAGUUGUGGGUAGCGGAGAAAUUCCAAUCGAACCUGGAGAUAGCUGGUUCUCUCCGAAAUAGCUUUAGGGCUAGCCUCAAGUGAUGAUUAUUGGAGGUAGAGCACUGUUUGGACGAGGGGCCCUUAUCGGGUUACCGAAUUCAGACAAACUCCGAAUGCCAAUCAAUUUAACUUGGGAGUCAGAACGCGGGUGAUAAGGUCCGUGUUCGAAAGGGAAACAGCCCAGACCACCAGCUAAGGUCCCAAAAUAUAUGUUAAGUGGAAAAGGAUGUGGCGUUGCCCAGACAACUAGGAUGUUGGCUUAGAAGCAGCCAUCAUUUAAAGAGUGCGUAAUAGCUCACUAGUCGAGUGACACUGCGCCGAAAAUGUACCGGGGCUAAACAUAUUACCGAAGCUGUGGAUUGUCCGUAAGGACAAUGGUAGGAGAGCGUUCUAAGGGCGUUGAAGCAUGAUCGCAAGGACAUGUGGAGCGCUUAGAAGUGAGAAUGCCGGUGUGAGUAGCGAAAGACGGGUGAGAAUCCCGUCCACCGAUUAACUAAGGUUUCCAGAGGAAGGCUCGUCCGCUCUGGGUUAGUCGGGUCCUAAGCUGAGGCCGAUAGGCGUAGGCGAUGGAUAACAGGUUGAUAUUCCUGUACCACCAUUAUUCGUUUUAAGCGAUGGGGGGACGCAGUAGGAUAGGCGAAGCGUACGAUUGGAUUGUACGUCCAAGCAGUGAGAUUGAGUGUUAGGCAAAUCCGGCACUCUUAAGAUUGAGCUGUGAUGGGGAGAGGAAAUUGUUUCCUCGAGUCGUUGAUUUCACACUGCCAAGAAAAGCCUCUAGCUAGAAUUGUGGUGCCCGUACCGCAAACCGACACAGGUAGUCAAGAUGAGAAUUCUAAGGUGAGCGAGCGAACUCUCGUUAAGGAACUCGGCAAAAUGACCCCGUAACUUCGGGAGAAGGGGUGCUCUUUAGGGUUAACGCCCAGGAGAGCCGCAGUGAAUAGGCCCAAGCGACUGUUUAUCAAAAACACAGGUCUCUGCUAAACCGUAAGGUGAUGUAUAGGGGCUGACGCCUGCCCGGUGCUGGAAGGUUAAGAGGAGUGGUUAGCUUCUGCGAAGCUACGAAUCGAAGCCCCAGUAAACGGCGGCCGUAACUAUAACGGUCCUAAGGUAGCGAAAUUCCUUGUCGGGUAAGUUCCGACCCGCACGAAAGGCGUAACGAUUUGGGCACUGUCUCAACGAGAGACUCGGUGAAAUCAUAGUACCUGUGAAGAUGCAGGUUACCCGCGACAGGACGGAAAGACCCCGUGGAGCUUUACUGUAGUCUGAUAUUGAAAUUCGGCACAGCUUGUACAGGAUAGGUAGGAGCCUGAGAUACGUGAGCGCUAGCUUACGUGGAGGCGUUGGUGGGAUACUACCCUCGCUGUGUUGGAUUUCUAACCCGCACCAUUUAUCAUGGUGGGAGACAGUGUCAGAUGGGCAGUUUGACUGGGGCGGUCGCCUCCUAAAGAGUAACGGAGGCGCUCAAAGGUUUCCUCAGAAUGGUUGGAAAUCAUUCAUAGAGUGUAAAGGCAUAAGGAAGCUUGACUGCGAGACUUACAAGUCGAGCAGGGUCGAAAGACGGACUUAGUGAUCCGGUGGUUCCGCAUGGAAGGGCCAUCGCUCAACGGAUAAAAGCUACCCCGGGGAUAACAGGCUUAUCUCCCCAAGAGUUCACAUCGACGGGGAGGUUUGGCACCUCGAUGUCGGCUCAUCGCAUCCUGGGGCUGUAGUCGGUCCCAAGGGUUGGGCUGUUCGCCCAUUAAAGCGGUACGCGAGCUGGGUUCAGAACGUCGUGAGACAGUUCGGUCCCUAUCCGUCGUGGGCGUAGGAAAUUUGAGAGGAGCUGUCCUUAGUACGAGAGGACCGGGAUGGACAUACCUCUGGUGUACCAGUUGUCGUGCCAACGGCAUCGCUGGGUAGCUAUGUAUGGACGGGAUAAGUGCUGAAAGCAUCUAAGCAUGAAGCCCCCUCAAGAUGAGAUUUCCCAACUUCGGUUAUAAGAUCCCUCAAAGAUGAUGAGGUUAAUAGGUUCGAGGUGGAAGCAUAGCGAUAUGUGCAGCUGACGAAUACUAAUCGAUCGAAGACUUAAUCAAAUUUUA